UUCCUUCGGAUCGUUCGGUCGUUCUUCCGCUGGCCGCUGUUCGUCUAAUCGCCGUCUUCAACUCCGCGUCUCUGCGGCCUCUCACGAACGAGACGACGAUGGCCGCCGACUGCAGCAGGCAGCAGCAAGGUAAUUAUUCCUUUCAGUUUCAAAAAGUUGAAAUUAUUGAAGAACUACCUGAGAUCUACAAUGUCGCAAGAGACGUUAAAUGGCCUGGCAACUUGAUGCAUUGAGAAAAAAUUGCUUGAAGAAAUUGAUAUUGAUACAAUCAUUACCGAUUUUGCAUCUCAAAAUGUUGGAAGAAAAUUUUGAAGGUAAUAUGUAAUACAUUAUGUGAUAUGCACACUGAUUUUGAAUUUACUUAACUGUUUCCUUUGA